CUUCAAGUCACUUUCCAAGAUGAGAAGAGGGAGGGGCCCGAAGCCCAUAAGUCUACCAGUAGCGCAUGAGGCAAGCCCUAAGGCUGGCCAAUGAUGCGCCCGCCUGCGGCCUGGUGGCCAAUAGCGCGCGGAGGUGGGAGGGCUCAGGCGAAGGGCCGGCAAAAGGGGAAGAAGAGAUAGUAUGUGAAGAUUCUCUCAUCAUAUGAUUCUUGAUCAUGUGACCUGGAAAAGCUGCGUGUGUGGAUAAGGGUGGGGAAUUGUCGUCCAGGAGUAAGAAGCAGAAUGUUCUUGGUACGGUAGCAUUGAGGCGGGGAAAAAAACCCUCCCCAAAAGUCCAAGAGAGGAGCAACGGAAACCAAAUGGAGAUGUGGCACCUUCAAUUACAUCACUCAGGCGAAAACUAGGUGGUGCUUCUCAGAGUAGCCCUUAAAAGGAUGAGAAGGCAACAGAGUUUGACAUAUUUUUUCAGUAAGAAACCAAAAUCAGGAAUCAGUUGUAUCAGAAUUGGUCUUUGGUGGUACAAAACAGUCAUAAGCACAACCACAACCACUCCAACUUGAAGAAAGCAGCACAUCAAUUAUUGAAAUAAAAAGUGAUAACAACUCCAAAAUUGAAAAUAAUCUUCCUGAAUGCUGGACAGUGCAACAAUAUAACAAUUUUAAAGGAAAAUAUGAGGGACUGGUAAUUUCUAACAAAAAGUUAGGUUUCAAGUAUUGUGCAAAAUAUGACUUCACAAAAGAGAAAAGUGUUCAUGUGUCAAAAGAAUGGAAAUGUUUUCAGAUUGAGGCAUCAGGGAAAAAUAAAGAGGUAUAACAAGCUUCUCUAAAGAAAAAAUGAAAGAACAUUUUUCAUCAAAAGCUCGUGACAUUUGUAAAGAGAAAACAAUGUGAGCAGGAUUCAGUAACAAAGGGCAACUGGAUGGAGUUGAGCGUUUACUGGCUGGAUACCCUUCCUGAUGCCACAUG